UAGCCGUAUCGGAAGGUGCGGCUGGAUCACCUCCUUUCUCGAGCUUAUUCCGCAUACAUUGAGCGUUCACGCUUAUCGGCUGUUGAUCAAGACAGACUCAGGGGUCUGUAGCUCAGUCGGUUAGAGCACCGUCUUGAUAAGGCGGGGGUCGUUGGUUCGAAUCCAACCAGACCCACCAAUUGUCUGACACGGAACACCUGGGUAGUCUCUGUAGGGAAGGGGGCAUAGCUCAGCUGGGAGAGCACCUGCUUUGCAAGCAGGGGGUCGUCGGUUCGAUCCCGUCUGCCUCCACCAAUCUUCAAUGACAAACGUUCAGGGAUACUGAGCAGUUGUCAUUGGCGAUUGAGCCAGUCAGAGGAUGAGCGAGAAGUAGCGCUUAUCGGCUGUCGUUCUUUAACAAUCUGGAAGAAGUAGUAAAGUGGAUAGCGGAAGCGCUUAUUUGAGAUGGGCGUGGAAGUUAUCCGGGUUGUGAUUGUAUCGAUGUAUCUCAAGAUGAUUCGAACGCAAGUUCGGCUCAAUUGGAAUACGGCACAAAUGCGAGAACUCAACCUGUAGCGGCUGUCAUCUCCUUCGGGAGAGCGAGACAGACUCGUUAUAGGGUCAAGCGAACAAGUGCAUGUGGU
rnacentral:misc_RNA from 1 species